GUGGGGAAUAUUGGGCAAUGGGCGCAAGCCUGACCCAGCAACGCCGCGUGAGGGAAGAAGGUUUUCGGAUUGUAAACCUCUGUCCUGGGGGACGAAAAAAAUGACGGUACCCCGGGAGGAAGCCCCGGCUAACUACGUGCCAGCAGCCGCGGUAAUACGUAGGGGGCGAGCGUUGUCCGGAAUUACUGGGCGUAAAGGGUGCGUAGGCGGCAUGUUAAGUUGGAUGUGAAAUACCCGGGCUCAACCUGGGGGGUGCAUCCAAAACUGGCAAGCUAGAGUGCAGGAGAGGAAAGCGGAAUUCCUAGUGUAGCGGUGAAAUGCGUAGAUAUUAGGAGGAACACCAGUGGCGAAGGCGGCUUUCUGGACUGCAACUGACGCUGAUGCACGAAAGCGUGGGGAGCAAACAGGAUUAGAAACCCUUGUAGUCC
rnacentral:rRNA from 1 species